rnacentral:rRNA from 1 species
UACGGGGGGUGCAAGCGUUGUUCGGAAUUAUUGGGCGUAAAGAGCGUGUAGGCGGUUUGUUAAGUCUGAAGUGAAAGCCCUGGGCUCAACCCGGGAAGUGCAUUGGAUACUGGCAGACUUGAGUACGGGAGAGGGUAGUGGAAUUCCUAGUGUAGGGGUGAAAUCCGUAGAUAUUAGGAGGAACACCGGUGGCGAAGGCGGCUACCUGGACCGAUAUUGACGCUGAGGCGCGAAAGCGUGGGGAGCAAACAGG